GACGUAGGGCGCGAGCGUUGUCCGGAUUUAUUGGGCGUAAAGAGCUCGUAGGCGGCUUGUCACGUCGGGUGUGAAAGCCCGGGGCUUAACCCCCGGGUCUGCAUUCGAUACGGGCUAGCUAGAGUGUGGUAGGGGAGAUCGGAAUUCCUGGUGUAGCGGUGGAAUGCGCAGAUAUCAGGAGGAACACCGGUGGCGAAGGCGGAUCUCUGGGCCAUAACUGACGCUGAGGAGCGAAAGCAUGGGGAGCGAACAGG
rnacentral:rRNA from 1 species